rnacentral:snRNA from 1 species
GGAUGUGAGGGCAAUCUGGCUGCGACAUCUGUCACCCCAUUGAUUGCCAGGGUUGAUUUGGCUGAUCUGGCUGGCUGGGCGGGUGUCCCCUUCCUCCCUCACCGCUCCGUGUGCGUCUCUCCCGCAGCUGUGCGCUGGGUCAGAGGAGGACGGGUCUUCAGUCAAGGGUAUAUGAGUAGCUGCGCUCCUUUGGUAGAACCCUCAAACAAGCUCUUAAAUAAUAUGUUUUAAUCAUACAUUGUCUCAUGUGUAUCCAAGAGAUGUUAUUUUGACAUAUGAGGUCAUUU